ensembl:antisense Evx1os even skipped homeotic gene 1, opposite strand
AAAGGCAAUUAGACCAUUGGGACCAUUUCCGACCUGGCGCCGCCAGCCCGGGAAGUGACAAGUACCGCUGGUGACGCCACUCGGCGAACGCAAGUGGAUAAAUAGAAACGUCUGCCACAGUGAAGAUGAAAGGAGACCCGCAGCUAAUGGCUCGGCAGUGAUGCGCCAGGUGUGGGCCUCGCUCGAAUGGGGAGGAGAGUGUGAAAACAGAGAGACACACACACUGGGAAAGGGAGACACCCAGACACAGAGGAUGCAAAUGGAAUUCCGCACACAGAAAAGGGAGCGCUUAAGGCGCGCAGCGAGUUCCACAGGGGCAACAGGACUUGAUGGCCUGAUUUGAAUUUGGAUUGGCUCUUCAUAGAAGAAAACAUCUUUUGGUUUGGCUUAUCUCCGGGCUAUUUCAGGUUAUUUACUGAGCAGCGGAAGAAGGAAGGAAAUUUCUAAUAGCGCGUGAAGCAAGGUAACCCUUCGAAAGCAAAGAGAGGUGACAGCCACCUUAGUGGAGUCCGCCCCGGUGCAUCUCUCCGCUGCAGCCCCGCCGACCUGCAGUCCUUCUCCUGCUGGGGCGAUCGGCUCAGAUGCGGCCAGUUCUUCGAGGAUUGGAAUUCUCUGAACUUCAAACGCUGUGGGUUUGGCUUCCGCCCGGCUAGGAGGGAUAGAGGGUGGCUGAGAAUCCUAGGGAGCCAAGGGGAGAUAAGUCGCGCCAGUCGUUUUAAAUGGAAUCUAAACCUUUGCUUGGGCCACCGAAUGUGGAUCCCCACGGAAACAGCUUCGCUUCGCAAGAAAAUCCGGCUUGGGAGAGAGGCUGUCUAAGUGACCCGAGGCCCGUGGGGCGUGGUCGGCAGUGGUCCUGAGCGGUCCAGAGCACCUUUGCACAUGGCUGGCUGAAAGGCAAGGGUGAAAGUCCAGGGACCUGCUUUCUCCCUGGGAGAAGGGGUGAAUGCGUUGUCUAGGGAAAGAAAAAGAAAUGAACUUUUCUUUCGUCAAAUGUAAGAACAAAGAGAGCAUCCUUCUAAAUAGUAAGAGUCUCCCAGCCGUCGUAGAUACUGUCCCCUGGUCCUCUGUGACCUUUCAGGUUGUGACAGGGAUUAUUUCCGCAAAGUUUCUGUGACUCUGGGUCUUCGCAGCUAGAGGGGUUGGCAGUGGGAGUAUCUAUCAGUCAGCUCCACUUCUCCCAAUACAGCUGUCCAGGCCUCUUUUUGAGCCCAGACUCACUGAGUGGUGCGCCCCUUGGGGGAACAUCCCCCGCCCGCGAGAAAAGGUUUACUGAAAGCCAAACUCCAGAGGUUCAGGCUUCCAGGAGUCCAGAGAUCAAAUAAUCUGGACGGAUUCCCUUCCCCUGGAGGCAGUGUUCCGCGCAGUGGGCAACACAGAACAGUUCUCCUCUUCAGAAGGUUGAGCUGGAGUCAAACGCAGUUAGGAGAAGUGCUCAGCCUCUGGGCCUCCUGAUGUAAAGGGCACAGGUAUCUGAGGCAAGAAAUGGGGUGCUUCAUGGCCCCCAAUGCCUGAUACUUCUCAGAACCCCAAAGGUAUCCAGUCCUGCCUAUUCUUCCUCUGGAUCUGCUUACUUAGUCUACUGAAAACCAGCGUCUAGUGGCUUCCUGCCCCUGUUCUGUCUCUGCAGUCUAGAAGCCCAUCUCCCCACCCCCACCCCCAGCUCACUGUGAAUACUGACAGCAGUGGGGAACAGACCCACCAUAGGACUGACACCCCAGGCUCUUCUCACCUGAGGCUAACUCUGUCCCUUUGGACAAGGCCUGGAUGAGCCCAGUGUAGUUUGUUCCCUCCCAUUCAAGGGAGUUCUUCAAUGUCUUCAUGGUACAAACCAUAGCUAGCUCCCUCCCGCCUUGCCCUAACAGAAGUAUCACAGCCUCUUUCAUCAUUACCAUUCUGAUACUUGCUAUUAUUACAAGGCUAGUUGACAUCUACGUCUCUUUUAGCUACAUAAGAGUUCUUUACGGGUUUUAAUAGCCUGCAAGGCUUUUCUCCCUCAGUUGUAGGGUGACCAGUAGUCCUAACAAGUGGCCAUGGCAAGGCUGAGUGUCAGACCUAGGAUCCUCCUCCUGAGUCAUCUUCCUUCCUGUCCUUGGGGGAAUCUCUUCUGCUAUCAUGUUGAGAUAACACCCCACAGCCUUUCUGGAAUCUAGAUAGGUCUGUGCCCUCAGCAGGUCCUCCUUACCCUCAAGAGCACACUCCUCUGGAGAAAAGGCCCCUGGCCUCAUUGAUGCCACUACUCCCCAACAUAGAUCCUUUCCCAGGAGGACAAAGAGUCCUGUGGUAAGAGCAGCACCAUUUUAUGCAUUUGUGUUUUCCAAUGUCUGCAGGCUUGGGUUGGGGGUGGGGGUAUGAAUUAUCCCUGGCUUGCAGCUGAGAAGACUAAAUGGGGAGAAAUACAUGCAUGAGUAAGAGGAUUCUGCCCACCCUACUCCCAGCCCUCCCCGCCAUGAAGACAACUCUCAGAGCAGCUCUUGGAAGCUGGGCUGUGUGUUAGAAUGCUUGCCUGGCUACCAUGAGGUACUAGGCUUGGACUAAGAAGCCAGCUUGGGCUUUUCAGCAGGGUCCUUUUGCUCCCACCUCACUCAUAGAAGAGGGGACAAUUCCUGGGACUCUGGGUACUCCCCUUGGACCUGCAGGUGAGGGAGAAAAGGCUGCAAACCACUUGGAAAUACUCCUUCUACAGGAUAGAGGCCAGCAGCUGGGUGAGGACUGUACAAGGGACUGUAGAAGAAAAAAACAACAACAACAAAACCCCAACCCAUGUGGUCAUGUGCAGGCCACUGGUACCUGAAAGUAAAACCUCUGAUCUUCGUUCAGAAUGCCCAAAUGUCAAUAUAAUUACUUACUUUGGACACCUUAAAGCACCUGCUCAUUCCAUGGC